rnacentral:rRNA from 1 species
CGAAAGCCUGACGGAGCAACGCCGCGUGAGGGAGGAAGGCUCUUGGGUUGUAAACCUCUUUUCUCAAGGAAGAUAAUGGCGGUACUUGAGGAAUCAGCAUCGGCUAACUCCGUGCCAGCAGCCGCGGUAAUACGGAGGAUGCAAGCGUUAUCCGGAAUAAUUGGGCGUAAAGCGUUCGUAGGUGGUGAUGUAAGUCUGCUGUUAAAGCGUGUAGCUUAACUACAUAUAGGCGGUGGAAACUACAUGACUAGAGUGCGUUCGGGGCAGAGGGAAUUCCUGGUGUAGCGGUGAAAUGCGUAGAUAUCAGGAAGAACACCGGUGGCGAAGGCGCUCUGCUAGGCCGUAACUGACACUGAGGGACGAAAGCUAGGGGAGCG